GUGAGGAAUAUUGGUCAAUGGGCGGGAGCCUGAACCAGCCAAGUCGCGUGAAGGAAGAAGGAUCUAUGGUUCGUAAACUUCUUUUGCAGGGGAAUAAAGUGCAGGACGUGUCCUGUUUUGUAUGUACCCUGAGAAUAAGGAUCGGCUAACUCCGUGCCAGCAGCCGCGGUAAUACGGAGGAUCCGAGCGUUAUCCGGAUUUAUUGGGUUUAAAGGGUGCGUAGGUGGUUUGAUAAGUCAGCGGUGAAAGUUUGCAGCUUAACUGUAAAAAUGCUGUUGAAACUGUCGGACUUGAGUGUAAAUGAGGUAGGCGGAAUGCGUGGUGUAGCGGUGAAAUGCAUAGAUAUCACGCAGAACUCCGAUUGCGAAGGCAGCUUACUAAGCUACAACUGACACUGAAGCACGAAAGCGUGGGGAUCAAACAGGAUUAGAAACCCCGGUAGUCC
rnacentral:rRNA from 1 species